CUGUGACCAAUCUGUCGUCAGAGACUGCUAAAACAGUUUCUGUGUGCAGUCUGUUGCCAUUCUGUCAACAGACACUGUUGACAGACUCUGCGUAAAAUCUGCUCGCACAGGUUUGGCUAUCUGGGUUUAAAAUUAAAGCUUUUAUAUGUGACACACCAGCUAAGGCAUUUAUAAAAUUCACUAAGGGUCAUAUGGGUUAUUAUUCAUGUUCGAAAUGUGAUAGAAGGAAGUUUUUUUAAUAAUAAGAUAUGUUUUCCAAAUUCAAGUAACUUGCGUUUAAGAAGUGAUAACGAUUUUAGAUUAAAAUUACAAGAAGAACACCACACGGGCACGUCAAUAUUAGAGUCAAUUCCAAAUUUAAAUAUGAUAACUGAUUUUCCAUUAGAUCCAAUGCAUUUAAUAUAUCUAGGAGUUGUCAAAAAGUUACUUUUUUUACUAUGGUACAAUGGAAAGUCAUCUUCAAAAUUAUCUUCCGUUUAAAUAACCGAAAUAUCCAAUUUAUUAGUUUACCAGAAAAAAAAUAUACUAUAUGAAUUUAAACCGUAAACCAAGAUUUCUAAACGAAUGUGCAAGAUGGAAGGCAACUGAAUUCAAACAAUUUUUACAUUAUACAGGACCUGUUGUUUUAAAAUCAGUUCUCAGUAAUGAUAGAUAUCUUAAUUUUAUAACGUUACAUGUAGCUAUUACUAUAUUGUCAAGUACAAAACAUUUUGAAUAUAUAAAUGCUAAUUAUGCUAAUUCAUUACUUCAUUAUUUUGUAGAAACUUUUACUAUUCUUUAUGGCAAACAGAAUAUUUCAUCUAAUAUACAUAACUUAUUACACAUUUGUGAUGAUUUAAAAAAUUUUGGAUGUUUGGAAGAAUUCAGUGCCUUCCCUUUUGAAAAUUUUAUGCAAUCAAUAAAAAAAUUGAUACGUAAAAAUGAUAAACAAUUACAGCAGAUCAUAUUUCGUACAUAUGAACAAGACUGUUUUACAUAUAGUGAAAAAGCAGAAAGAAAUAUGAUUCCUCAACUACUUAAUCAGCAUCAUAAAGGACCUUUAAUAGACAUUUCAUGUUCUAAACAAUGGGAAAAUAUUUUAUUUCGUAACUUUACUUUAAAAAUACAAGAGCCAGAUAACUGUUGUUGUUUACACGAUGGCAGCAUUAUUAAUAUUAAAAAUUUUGUUUCCAAUGAUGUUAACAACUUUUUAUUAGGUCAUAAAUAUCAAACACUGCAAGAUUUAUAUAGUCAACCAUGUAGAUCGUCCCAAUUAAAAAUUUUUGUAGUCAAUAAUGAUAUAAGUCCUCUGCAAAAAUGGAACAUAAAUGAAGUUGCAUAUAAAUGUAUAAAACUCAAGUUCAAUGAUAAAUUCGUUAUUUUUCCUAUGUUGCAUUACAAAUAACUUUAUAAUAUUAGUAAAUAUUGUUUAUUUAUGAAGAAUAUUUUCUUUAAUUACUGGACACCCUACACACACACACACACACACAUGUAGAGUUUGCGAUACUUCACUUAUUUUAAAUUUAGUUGCAGAAAAAUUCAAAGAUAAAAUGGCUCGUUCAUGGAGCGUUGUAAAAUUUGAUAUGGAAAAUACGGUGGAAGCGGUACCAUCAAGAUGGAUAUUUAAUAAUAAAUGUUAUUGACCCCCAUACUCUAUAGCAAAAAUACAAGCUGCGAUAAGAAAUAAUGAAGAACCUAACACUUGCUAGCCUUCACACAAUGUAACCGUAUUUCGAAAUAGCACCUAUGAAAAUUACUCAAUCGCAAAGGAGAAAGCUAAAAAAGCUGAAUUCACGUCCGAUUUGAAUUCAGAUAUUGAGAAGUUAGAUUCGCCACGUAUAUAAAAAAAAAACAUAUACAAAACGAUAUUGCUGCUCUUCAUCUGAAGAAGAUGAAAUUGAUGAGGUGACCAAUUUACCCAGGUCUCCACCUCUUCAAAAAGAUUCACGAGUGUUAAAAAAUAAUAAUACAAUAAAAAACAUGAUAGACAACGCGAAAAUUGUUUUUUCGCCAUCAAAUGUUUCAACAAAUGUGCUAACCGAGACCGAGAUCGAGUCUUUCACGAUGGAAGGCAACUUCAGAUUGGACGAAAACGCUAUCAUAAUUAAUAAUGAAGUUCCUAAUUGUAAUGUUUAGAGAGAUCCGGAUUCUGAUAAUAUUGAUCAGCAACAGUGUAAAUGCUGUCCACAGCAUAAACAAAAUGCUACCGAUAAAUAUUUAAAAGAAAUACUUCGUCAGCAACAUUUGUUCAAAGCGCAUUUAUGGCAGAUGAAUGAUGAUAUGAAGCACCUGCAGAGAUCUUUCAAUGAGACAGUUCGAGGACGUAAUAUAAAUCUCAAUAUAAAUGAAGAUUCGAUCUUAAAUAAAUUCGAAUUUCCGCUAAAUUCGACAGAUGAUUUGGAACAACUUCUCAACAAUUAUUUGUUGAUAGAAAGCAAUUUUAAAUCCACGGUUGCAGAAAUGUCCAAGAUUGGUGGCAGCUCAAUUUAUGAUUUUGUCAAACGAGCUUUGCAAUUAUUAAUGACUAAUGAGCUCGCAUCUCAAUAUAGCUGGUUUGGAGCGAGAAAGAAGAAAGUUUUCAAUAAACUUAAAAUUGCAGAUAUGUUGAUCGCUUCAGCCCAAAUAUCUCAACCAGAUUGUUCGAAGAAGGAAUGUGAAGAAGCUAUUAAAAAAUGGCUAUUAAAAAAUGGCUUAGAAGAGCAAAAGAGCGCGACGAUAAUUAAAAAAAAUACCUUCAGGAUAAUUAAGGUCUUUAAGUUAUUUGCAAACUUUUUUCUGUUUUGCUCCAAGCAAACUUAGAUGCGAGCAUUAGUCAUUUAUAAUAAUUGUUUUUAAUUUAACAAUCUCGGUUUGAAGGUGCUUUCUAAAAGACUGUGAUGUAACUAAGUCGGAUUCUAAAAAAUUACUUUUUUUGAAGAUUAAUAUAUACUUAUAUAUACUCUAGUAUUUAGAUAUUUUACAUACACACACACGCACACGCACGCACGCACGCACGCACGCACG